GCAGUCGUCAGCGACAAUCAGAGCUGUAAAGUCUAGCUAGAUACAUUUUUAUAUGUAUAUACAUAGUCCAACAGUUUUCUCUUGGCACCCAGCGUCGUAUAAAAGGCAACGAACUCCACAUAGGCAGCUCAGAAGCGUUUGAUAUCCGUAGAUACAGCUUGGUCAUCAUGCCCAAGCAAGGUUCCGACGCAAACUUGAAGGUACUGGCUGCUCCGGGCUGGCUCACCCGCGAAUAUGUCCAGCAGAGGCUGCGAAGCUACCUGAAAGAGUCGAAACUGCAGCUGCAGAAGCUACACAUACAGCCGGCCACGGCCAAUGGGGAGAACUAUGCGAGCGUCAUGACGAGGAUCAUCGUAGAGUACACGGACAAGGAUAUGUGCCAGCAUACAGACAACUUUAUAGUUAAGACCACGUUCGCCGACAAGGAUCCGGCUUCUCACUUGCUGGAACAAUAUGGCGUAUAUGUUCGUGAAAUGGACAUGUACGAGGAGGAGCUGCCCAAGCUGGCGAAGAUCAUUCAGCUGGAGCUGGGGGAUAGUCGGAAAAUGUUUGCUCGCACAGUGUAUGUGGAUCGGGAGCACGACUCGAUUGUGUUCGAGGACAUGUCCUUGGAGAAAUACUGUGUCGCGGAUCGCUUGAAGCAAUUGGAUCGGAAUCACACUCAGCUGGUGCUGGAAAAACUGGCGAAAUUUCAUGCCGCCGGAGCGGUGCUCAACGAGCGGCAGCCAGGGAUCUACGGCCAGAAAUACGAUCGCUGCUUCUUCAACAAACACACUCAGGCCUACAAGCCCAUUAUGCAGAAUAUGCUGAGAGCCCUAAUAACAUCCAUCGAGGAUGACAAGGCACUGCAUCAGCGCUACGCAGCUAAGCUGAGCGGAGUCAUCGAUCACAUUAUGGAAUACGGCGAGCGGACGAUGGAGUUAAGCAAGGGGGACUUUGCAACUCUCUGCCACGGCGAUCUAUGGACUACGAAUAUCAUGUUCAAUUACCUGAACGACGGCACGCCGGACAAUAUGAUCUUUAUAGACUUUCAGUUUAGCGUUUGGAGCUCGCCGGCUAUCGACCUGCACUACUUCUUCUGCACCUCGGUGCAGAACGAUCUCCAUAGGAAUCAUCAGGCCGAGCUAGUCCAGUUCUAUUACCAGAAUCUUGUGGAUGCAUUAACUAAACUGAAAUAUAAGGGCCAAGUGCCCAGCCUAUUUGAGUUUCAGCUGCAAUUUCAAGCGCGUGCCUUCUAUGGUGUUUUCUGCUCGUUGGUUUUCCUGGCGGCCAUGCUGCACAAUGGGCCCGAGGAGUUUUCCAUUGAAAAAGCGCUGUCGCCUUCUGAGGCCGAUGCGGCUGUGCGAGUUGCUGUCUAUAAAAACGAGCUAUACCGAAAGAAACUCAGAGAAAUCUUGCCCAUGCUUGAUCAUAAAGGAUUGCUCGAUGAGAUGUAAAUACAAUUGUUGUUAUUUAUAAAAGAGUAUUAGUCUAGAAUAAACAAGUCAAAAUUCCUUUGUGCAAACAACUUGUCUUAAAAUCGAAUUUGCAGACUUCAUUUGAGAGCGUGAUAUUGACAUGGAGAUGGGUAUACUUGCCAACGCACAAACUUAUAUUAUUUCAAAUCCAGUUUGUAUAAAUUAGGUCUGCAGAAUAUAUGUAUCUUUGCACCUUGUUGAAUUCUAGAAUUAAAAUAUGCUUACAAAUCGAAAUAAAGAUAUCGAUUUUUAUCGAUAAUAACGAA